rnacentral:rRNA from 1 species
UACGUAGGUGGCAAGCGUUGUCCGGAUUUACUGAGCGUAAAGGGCGUGCAGGCGGUUUGUUAAGUGCAGGGUGAAAGCUCCCGGCUCAACUGGGAGAGGUCCUUGCAUACUGGCAAACUCGAGGGAGGCAGAGGAAAGUGGAAUUCCCGGUGUAGUGGUGAUAUGCGUAGAUAUCGGGAGGAACACCUGUGGCGAAGGCGGCUUUCUGGGCCUUACCUGACGCUGAGA